AAUUGGAUAUGGGUAUUGUAGCUGAAACGUCUUGCGAGCUGAGUCAGGGUCGGGGAAGCUGUGAUGGCAAUGAGAAGUCAACACACUGAGGAUGGAGAGAAAGAAGAUGAGUCUGGGAGAGAAAGAGAAUGAUUCUUCUGGCCGAGGGAAAGCAAGAAUAUCUGUUCCUGCAACUGCACUGAUUCUAGAAACACUCUCUAUUCGAACUCUCAUGAGGUGCUGACCUGCUUGGUGAAUGCUGGGAUCUCUGGAAGAGGGAGGCAGACAUCACACACCAGCUGGCAAGUGGGAGCUGGCAUGCAACAUGCCCCAAUACCACUCCCCUCCUGCCAUCCCUAUCUCCUAAUGGUGCCUCCUUUUGGCCAAACCCACCUUUGGCUGGAGGGCAACAGAGCCCAUUGACGUGGUCCCCUUGCAUCUGCUACCUGGGGAGAAAAGCAGGAUGGACACUGAAUCUAGAGAAAUGAAGAAACCCAUCCAGAAGAAUACUGCUUCUUUAUGUUUUUGUAGGAACAGUGUCAUGGGAUGCUGGGGACAGCAGUUGGAGUGAUGCAUCUAUGGGC
rnacentral:lncRNA from 10 species